rnacentral:misc_RNA from 1 species
GAAAUAAAGAAACCCUACUUUGCGGAAUAUGAUAAUAAUGGAGCUGGAGCCAAUACUUGUUGUAGAGUGACAUGGUCUACAAUUAUUAAUGCAGCUCAAGCUAAGACCUUUACGGCUGAACCAUUCAUAGAUGGUGCUAAUUGGCUCCCAUCCACUGGCUUCCCCUAUCAGCUUGGCCUCUAAAUCUAUUGCUAUAAUUACCUUGCAACUCUUGGCCUUUUGGUUUGGUUGAUCAAAAGAUGUAUGAGAGUUGGAACAUAAGCUAG